GUCGGAGCUAAACUGGGACAUGUUGUUCAUGGCCGCCGCAAAGACGCCAGUGUUCGACGUGACGCCGUCCCCUACACCGCCGAAGUCUAACAGUGACGCCGUGUGGGCUCUGCAACUUGUCGCAGCCGCAUACUGAAACGCCCCAACCGAACCUCUGCCGCCGCUUCUCCGGCGGCCGUGGGCCAUGUGGGUCACCCCCCAGUCGCUGCAUUCUGCUAUCUCCAAGCUUGUCGCCAUCAGCACCAUCCAUACUAGCAGUACUUGUAGUGGGGUGCUACUGCUGCUCUGCAACUCCAUUAGUAUGGAGAAAGUGGG
rnacentral:misc_RNA from 1 species